GGAAGGAAGCUAGACAGAAAAGUCAGGAUGGCCGAGUGGUCUAAGGCGCCAGACUCAAGUUCUGGUCUUCGAGAGAGGGCGUGGGUUCAAAUCCCACUUCUGACAU
rnacentral:tRNA from 1 species